rnacentral:rRNA from 1 species
GUUGAACGCUGGCGGCAGGCCUAACACAUGCAAGUCGAGCUGGGUUUUCGGACCUAGCGGCGGACGGGUGAGUAAUGCGUAGGAAGCUGCCCGAUAGAGGGGGAUACCAGUUGUAAACGACUGUUAAUACCGCAUAAUGCCUACGGAGCAAAGUGUGCGACAUUCGGGCCACAUGCUAUCGGAUGCGCCUACGUGGGAUUAGCUAGUUGGUGAGUUAAUGGCUCACCAAGGCGACGAUCUCUAGCUGGUUUGAGAGGAUGAUCAGCCACACUGGAACUGAGAGACGGUCCAGACUACUACGGGAGGCAGCAGUGGGGAAUAGUGGACAAUGGGCGCAAGCCUGAUGCAGCAAUGCCGCGUGUGUGAAGAAGGCCUUCGGGUUGUAAAGCACUUUCAGCGAGCAGGAAGGGUGGUGUGUUAAUGGCACAUCAUUUUGACGUUACUAGCAGAAGAAGCACCGGCUAACUCUGUGCCAGCAGCCGCAGUAACAC